GACGAACGCUGGCGGCGUGCUUAACACAUGCAAGUCGAACGGAGUGGCGAACGGGUGAGUAACACGUGGGUGAUCUGCCUUGCACUUCGGGAUAAGCUUGGGAAACUGGGUCUAAUACCGGAUAGUGCAAGAUGAGCUCGCGGCCUAUCAGCUUGUUGGUGGGGUAAUGGCCUACAGAGGCGUCGACGGGUAGCCGGCCUGAGAGGGUGUACGGCCACAGUGGGACUGGGGUACGGCCCAGACUCCGACGGGAGGCAGCAGGGGGGAAUAUUGCACAAUAGGCGGAAGGCGUAUGCAGCGACGCCGGGUGGGGGAUGAAUGCCUUCGGUUUGUAAACUCCUUUCGACAGGGACGCGGUACCUGUAUAAGAAGCACCGGCUAACUACGUGCCAGCCGCCGCGGUAAUUC
rnacentral:rRNA from 1 species